GAGUGGCACAACAGUUCAAUGCAUUUGGCUGCUAACCAGAAAGUUGGUGGUUCGAGCCCACCCAGGUAUG